rnacentral:rRNA from 1 species
AAUAUUUGAAAAUGGGCGAAAGCCUGAUCCAGCCAUGCCGCGUGUGUGAAGAAGGUCUUCGGAUUGUAAAGCACUUUAAGUUGGGAGGAAGGGUUGUAGGUUAAUACCCUGCAAUUUUGAAGAUACCAACAGAAUAAGCACCGGCUAACUUCGUGCCAGCAGCCGCGGUAACACGAAGGGUGCAAGCAUGAAGCGGAAUUGUUGGGCGUAAAGCGAGCGUAAGUGGUUUGUUAAGUUGGAAGUGAAAGCCCCGGGCUUAACCUGGGAAUUGCUUUCAAAACUGACGAGCUAGAGUACGGUAGAGGGUAGUGGAAUUACCUGUGUAGCGGUGAAAUGCGUAGAUAUAGGAAGGAACAUCAGUUGCGAAGGCGACUACCUGGACUGAUACUGACACUGAGGUGCGAAAGCGUGGGGAGCAAACAGG